rnacentral:rRNA from 1 species
UACGGAGGGGGCUAGCGUUGUUCGGAAUUACUGGGCGUAAAGCGCGUGUAGGCUGUUCGGAAAGUCGGGUGUGAAAGCCCUGGGCUCAACCUAGGAAGUGCACUCGAAACUCCCGAACUGGAGUCCCGGAGAGGAAGGUGGAAUUCUCGGUGUAGAGGUGAAAUUCGUAGAUAUCGAGAGGAACAUCGGUGGCGAAGGCGGCCUUCUGGACGGUGACUGACGCUGAGACGCGAAAGCGUGGGGAGCAAACAGG